rnacentral:rRNA from 1 species
AGUGAACGCUGGCGGUAGGCCUAACACAUGCAAGUCGAACGGCAGCACAGUAAGAGCUUGCUCUUACGGGUGGCGAGUGGCGGACGGGUGCGGCAUACAUCGGAACCUACUUUUUCGUGGGGGAUAACGUAGGGAAACUUACGCUAAUACCGCAUACGACCUACGGGUGAAAGCAGGGGAUCUUCGGACCUUUCGCGAUUGAAUGAGCCGAUGCCGGCUUCGCUAGUUGGCGGGGUAAAGGCCCACCAAGGCGGCGAUCCGUAGCUGGUCUGAGAGGAUGAUCAGCCACACGCGAACAGGGACACAGUCCAGACAACUACGGGACGCAGUAGUGGGGAAUAUUCGACCAUUGGCGCGAGCCUGAUCCAGCCAUACCGCGUAGGUGAAGAAGGCCUUCGGGUUGUAAAGCCCUUUUGUUGGGAAGGAACAGCAGCAGAUGAAUACCCCGCUGUUCUGACGGUACCGAAAGAAUAAGCACCGGCUAACUUCGUG